rnacentral:rRNA from 1 species
AUACGUAGGGGACGAGCGUUGUCCGGAAUUACUGGGCGUAAAGGGCGCGCAGGCGGAUAUUUAAGUCAGCUGUAAAAGGCAUGAGCUCAACUCAUGUAUGCGGUUGAAACUGGGUAUCUAGAGUGCUGGAGAGGUAGGCGGAAUUCCCAGUGUAGCGGUGAAAUGCGUAGAUAUCGGGAAGAACACCAGUGGCGAAGGCGGCUUACUGGCCAGCAACUGACGCUGAGGCGCGAAAGCCAGGGGAGCGAACGGGAUUAGAUACCCCGGUAGUCCUGGCCGUAAACGAUGAAUGCUAGGUGUGGGUGUCGAGAGGCAUCCGUGCCGGAGUUAACGCGAUAAGCAUUCCGCCUGGGGAGUACGAUCGCAAGAUUGAAACUUAAAGGAAUUGACGGGG